UGCUGAGACACUCUCAAGUAUAUNGGACAUCGUGCGGUUAGUGUAAAGGCACAAGCCAGCUUGACUGCGAGACGUACAUGUCGAGCAGGUACGAAAGUAGGUCUUAGUGAUCCGGUGGUUCUGAAUGGAAGGGCCAUCGCUCAA
rnacentral:ncRNA from 1 species